UACGGGGGGGGCAAGCGUUGUUCGGAAUUACUGGGCGUAAAGGGCGCGUAGGCGGCCUGCUAAGUCACACGUGAAAUCCCUCGGCUCAACCGGGGAACUGCGUGUGAUACUGGCGGGCUUGAAUUCGGGAGAGGGAUGUGGAAUUCCAGGUGUAGCGGUGAAAUGCGUAGAUAUCUGGAGGAACACCGGUGGCGAAGGCGACAUCCUGGACCGGUAUUGACGCUGAGGCGCGAAAGCCAGGGGAGCAAACGGG
rnacentral:rRNA from 1 species